GACGAACCGUGCGAACGUUGUUCGGAAUCACUGGGCUUAAAGGGCGCGUAGGCGGCUUACCAAGUCCGGGGUGAAAGCUUUCGGCUCAACCGGAAAAGUGCCUUGGAUACUGGUAAGCUUGAGGGAGGUAGGGGCAUGCGGAACUUCCGGUGGAGCGGUGAAAUGCGUUGAUAUCGGAAGGAACGCCGGUGGCGAAAGCGGCGUGCUGGACCUCUUCUGACGCUGAGGCGCGAAAGCUAGGGGAGCGAACGGG
rnacentral:rRNA from 1 species